AGAUUUUCCAUGGUUUUUCCUGAAAGUAAACAAAAUUUUUGGUAAGUAACUUUUCAUCAUGUUAAUCUUUACUCUGAACUGCUCAAUAUAUGUUUUUAUGAUGGUAUCCGUCGUUAUCUUAGAUACCUGUGUUUUGGAUGAGGGAUAUGAAAAUGGGACCGAAAAAUACACUUUUUACUUGCCGGUAGUUAGUUUUGGUCAGUUUUACUUUAGGUUCCUAAUUGUACAUGAGCACUUGUAAGCGUCUGAUUGAAGAUGAAUGAAAUACCAAAAAGUGAAACUACGCCUGACAAUUAUUGAACAGUUGUUUUUGUAGAUAAGUAUUAGUGGUAUGGAAGUGACAAUAAAUUUAUUGUAUAAAUUACAUACGGGCAGAUCAUACAAAAAUGAUAACAAUGCAAUAAUUAACACGAACCCCCCCCCCCCCCAAAAAAAAAAAACAAAAAAACAACAACAAAAAACAACAACCUUACCGAAGACCGAGUUGUUCAUGAGUUUGAAGAAGUUCUUCUCGAAAGCAGUCUUUGCUUGUUGUCGCAUUUUGGUGUUGAACUCAACGUAGGGUUUCAUGAAAGCCUCUUGUUGGAACUCUAAUACUUUAUGUAUUUUUUUUUAAUUUUAGACCGAGUUGGAGAUACAGUUGCAGGUUGCGAUGGUGAAGUACAUAAUUCUGUUUGUUUUCUAAAGUGGUGAGUAAUUUUUCCACCUUUGCUCUGGGUGGAAGUUCCUCACUGUUGUGUAAAUGUUUCAACACAUGUUGAGCAUAAGGAGAUAAUUUUUCAUUGGGUGUGAAUUUACGUUCCGGAGCUAAUGGGUAGUCGUUAUGACUGUCAUGUAAAUGUUUUGGAUAUUCUAGAUCUACUUCUAGAAUAUACCCCUUAGAUCCAUCCUCUGGUAUUUUUUCAGGUUCAAAAGUAUCAAUUUCUUCCUUCUCUAAAAACUUAAAGAAGCCUGUUGGUAGAUGUUGUGACAUACUGUAACCAUAAAGAUUAUUGACAUCAUAAUAAGCUAGAAAUGAGGUUUCUUUUGUAGGAUCAUAAUCAUUCAAAUACUCAUUGUUUGGUUUUUUGUAUCUAUUUGAUAUUUGACUAAUACCACCUCGAAUACCUUUUUCGAUAAAUAAAAUUUGAUCAAUGUCUGUCAUGAGCUCUAGAGUGACUUCAGUCAUUUUCAACAUUGCCUGCCAGCUCAAUCCCGGACUGGUGUAAAAGUGACAAGGGUCUAAACCAUAACACUUCAGUGACAUAUCACGAAAAUUUUCAAAAACAUCAGCUAAUAACAAUAUGUCUGUUUUUAAAUAGAGAUCAUGGUAUUCUCCAAGACUUUUUAGUUUAAAUGUUUGAUAUACUUGCUUUGCAUGUUCAUAGUCUUCUUUUGAUAUAUUUUCCUCAGUCAAUGAAGAGUAAAAAUUCUCUAUUGCUGGAAGAUCAGCAUCUUCAAAUUUAUCCCAGUCAGUCAUGAACUCGUAAGGAUAAACCCCCUUUCAUAGCAGGAGGUUUCCAUGAUCUUUGAUUUCUGAAUGAAAGUGAUGGAAAGACUGUGGGCCAUUUUGAGCUAAGUUAUCUACAAGGGUCCCAAGAGAUGAAGGGAGAAAACCCAAAGAGUCAAUAAACCUAAGAUUUCCAAUACUAAAACUGAUAUACUUUUCAACUGACUGUGGGAUGCAAUUGAUUUUAUAAUUUUUAAAUGUACCAAUUCUUUGACAAAGCAAGUGACCAUCAAAAUUUUUAAGAUUGUGGAAGAUGACUGGGAUGAAACUGGGUUGUUUACCGGUACAUUGUAAAUUACAAUUCAUAUGUGCAGCUCCUAUGUAUUUCCCACUUGUGUGAUCAUGAUGUCUUGCUUUCUUUUCCUUGUUACCAAAUACUUUUUUGACAUAAACAACAUGUGUUUGCUUGUUCGAACUGUUUUUCUUCACUUUCCUUUAAAACUAGGGGUUUGAUAUUUUGCAUAUGUUGCUGUAUUUCAUGACUUUCUCGUAAAAGACAUUCUAACAAUUUUUUGGGUGCAUCUGGACCUCUGUAGAUAACAGUAUCUUUUGUUAAUUUUGAAUCAGUUGAAAUAACUUUAUAUCCAAAGGAACAGGGUUCUAACAAUUGAUUUUUUGAUGUUGAAGCUGUUUGGUUGUUAGUCUCUAUUGGUUUAUUUAAUGUUUCAAAAUCAGCCACAAUAACAUAAGGGACACGCAGUGUUUUUUCGUAAUCUUUAAAUUUAAGAAAGCAGUCUGCUCCUGAUGGAAGUUCAAUUUUUUGAGCAUCAUGGACUUGACAGUAUGAAAGGUGAUCAUCUAAUAAACUUUGUUUACUAAAUCCAUGGAGGCAAUAUCGACAAUAGUAAUAUGCACGAUGUCCUUUCUUACCAUGACUAAGAAACCUGUUUAUGUUUUUCAUAAGCACAUAAUGUGAACUGUUUUCUGAUUGCAAAAGCAAUAAGUCAAUAUGAUGGAGUCUGUUUUGGCAAUUUGUAAUGCGUAGUGGAAGAACAUCAUUGUCUUCAAAAGUAAACACAUUUACAGACAAAAAUGGGUUUUGCUUCUCAAAUUGAUUUAUUUGAUUCAAUGACAUUGGAAACAGCAGACCUUUUGUGUUUAAUUCAUUUUCAAAUUGUUCAUAAUCACUCACCAGAGGGGAAUCCAAGGGAUGAAGGGAUGCUAAACAACACCAUAGAAAGCACUUUUGGCCAAGAUUUCUUAUGUUUAGUAAACUUUGAUAGUUAAUAAGAGGCUUUGGUAGCUCUACAAAACUAGAUCCGGACACUGGAGAAUAUUUCACCGUGUGCACAGUUAUACUUAAUACUUGUUUGAGAACCCACCCAGAGCUUUCUCUUAUGUACUUUUCAAAACUUUCAAACAUUUUUUGAAAUGCUUCAUUUAAGUUGUUUUCAUCAAAUGUUAUCAAAUUUAAACUUCUAUAACUCUUAGAUCUAAAAUGUGGAGUUGAUGUAUUGUCUCCAUCUUUUGUGUGUUUCACUAGCUCAACCUGCACUGAUAAAUACCAUUUAAUAGGAUACAAUUGAAGUCUUUUUUCUAAAAUAUUUUGAAUGUUUUUAUUGGCAUUGGCAAAAAAUGCCAACAGAUCAUAUUGUUCAUGUUGAUUUGGUUGUAUGGUGAAAUCUUGAAUGUUUUCAUUAAUAGCAUGUUCAUAACUGUGGUCCAUUGUUGUAGAUGAUGGUGUUCUUGCAGUGGAAGUUGGUGUUGAUGAUGGUGUUCUUGCAGUGGAAGUUGGUGUUGAUGAUGGUGUUCUUGCAGUCGAAGAUGGUGUAGAUAAUUGACUGUAGUUGUGUUCAUUUUGAAGGUGUGGACUUGGAGAGAGCGGUGUUCUUGCAGUCGAAGAUGGUGUAGAUAGCUGACUGUAGCUGUGCUCGUUCUGAAGUUGUGAAGUGGUGAGAAGUCCUGUUGUAUGAUCUACAUUGCUUGUUGAAGAGGAGCUUUGGGUGUCGCUGCUUGGAGGUUGAAAGACAAUCAACGUCUGAGAGUGAAAUAUGUUGGUGCGCAAUUUAUACAACUUGUUUGAAUGUGGGCUUACAUCAACAACAGCAAGACUUUGCGAUCGACACUCUACUCUGUCAAAUGGAUAUUUAGCUGUGCUGUUUUUCAACAACUCUGCAUGGGCUACAAUAAGAGCUGGAUUGACUCUUACCUUCUUUGCUAGUAAUUCGCUUUUCGCUUGAUUUACAAUUUGCUGUGUGGGGGAAGUCACGUUCAAUGUCAAGUCACUGCUCUCUGCGGAAGCCUUAUGAGAUCAUCCGGGGAUAUCGCCAUAUUGAAAACCCGCCAGAGAUUCGGUCCACGUCCAUGGUGCUCGGGAUGAGUCAUUGGAGGACGAAGAUCGGGUGUCCUUAUGCUGCCAUGAAAUGUCGUUUUUAUGAUGUCCAAUUAUGUUCAAAAAUAAACAACUUGGAGAAUGUG